AUUGAACGCUGGCGGCAGGCUUAACACAUGCAAGUCGAGCGGUAGCACAGGGGAGCUUGCUCCCUGGGUGACGAGCGGCGGACGGGUGAGAAAUGUCUGGGAAACUGCCUGAUGGAGGGGGAUAACUACUGGAAACGGUAGCUAAUACCGCAUAACGUCGCAAGACCAAAGAGGGGGAGCUUCGUGCCGCUUGCCAUCGGAUGUGCCCCGCUGGGAAUAGCUAGGAGGUGGGGUAAUGGCUCACCUAGGCGAGGAGCCCUGGCGGGUCUGAGAGGAUGAGCAGCCACACUGGAACUGAGACACGGUCCAGGCUCCUACGGGAGGCAGCAGUGGGGAAUAUUGCACAAAGGGCGCAAGCCUGAUGCAGCCAUGCCGCGUGUGUGAAGAAGGCCUUCGGGUUGUAAAGCACUUUCAGCGAGGAGGAAGGUGGUGAGCUUAAUACGUUCAUCAAGUGACGUUACUCGCAGAAGAAGCACCGGCUAACUCCGUG
rnacentral:rRNA from 1 species